AGAUUUUAUUCUCUACUUGACUCUUUUAAUGGAUUGCUUAUUCCGCUGCAGUUAAACUUGUUGUCUAUUGUAUUUUAUCAGUUUAACAUUGUUGAAGGCUAAUGAUAAUUUAUCCUGCAUUAUCUUAGUCAUAAUAUUUCUUACUGGGCUAGUUGAGCUCACCCUUUCUUUCACUGUUCUCUUCUGGAAAUGAGAACGUAGCAGGGACUAGUCGGGGGACGGAGUGAUGGUCCAGAUGAUAGUAUUAGUAGUCCUUACUAUUCUGUUAAAUAGUGUGACAAUAAAUGUAAUGAAGACUGAAUUUGAGUUUGUAUACUGUCUAUGAGGACUCCAUUGAGAAUGGAUAUUGUCUAGAAGACAAUAUUCUUGUUUAAACUCUUAGUUUAUAUUUUAUCGUAUUUUACACGACAGUUGUAUAAUUAUGUUGUAUUUGAUUUAUGUACCAUGUAUUUGGCGACUCAAGAUGGGUGAUUUAUACCUAUUUUGGGGGCGUCACAGUUUCUCUAUUCAAAAAUAGUAGUAAUGGGUGUACAUGAAUUUUUUUGUACAUUAUUUUUUUCCCAGUGUAAUGGGAACUUCAUUUACUCAUUUUUCUUAAGUUUUUUUAGUGUUGUGAAUUGAUAAGUUAACAUAUAGAAGAUGUUGUGAUUUUUCA
rnacentral:lncRNA from 1 species